CAGCUUUUAAUUUGGCAUUUUUUGGUUGGUACUAGUUUAAGUCAUGUCAAUUGAGACAUAUUUGAUUUGGUGCUGCAUCUUCAGUGCCUGGAAGAAAAUAUGGAGCACAAUGCUCAAUCUUGGUAUUGAUCUAAUUGCUGUAUCACUCUACCAGAUGGAUUUGGACAUGACUCAGUUCUUGUUGAGAUCUUAUUUCCGAAUUCGACUGCAGAGAAGGCCUUUUUGAAAACGUGACGGUAGCUGCUAUAUUAGUUUGUAUUCUUUUGGUGAAAGCUUAUGCUUGAGGUUCGUUGUGGUUGGUCUUUAUUUUGGUAGCAGCUGUCUUGUUGAUUUGGAAAAACAUCUUGAAGAGUGUUCUGUCGAAAUUGGCUAAAUCAUCUAUGCCUUCUCUGUUUGAAUGUGUGUGUCUAUCAGGUUCUUUUUCUAUAUGCGCUUUAGUCUAUGCUUAGAUUCUUUCUGCUCUGAGAAAUAUGGUCCUGUGGUACCUUUCUUAGACUUUACUUUACAGGCUUAGAUUUAUGAAUUAUGUUCAGUUCAAAAUAUCCGUGUUACUGCAGUUCCAACUUAUCUAGUACCUAGGAAAAAUCGGUGUUACGGUAUGGAUCAUACAGUGCAUUGGCAUGAGGGGAGGGAUAGAACCAGUUCCAAGCUACUGCGUGGGAAUAGAUAUGUUCAUUAAAGCCUUUUUGACAUGUUCAUCCAUGAAACUAAACAUAUAGUGAUUUAUAUCAAUGCUUUUGGAAAUUUUUGGUUUAUAUUUAAUUACCCUCUGAAGAAGAAUGCAUGACUAGUUUGAAAACAUUGUAUGCCAAACUCAUGUCAGUAGUUUUUAUUUUCUUCAUCUCGUAUAUAGCCCUUUCUUUAAGGUCACUCCUAGUGCUGAACUGCCAACAUAAACCUCACUGCAGAAUCGCUAUAAGUGUUUAUCUGUAGAUCGAGCAUAUCUUUGAAACUUUUAACAGAUCUGAGUUCUGGAUUUUGAUACAUUCUCAACAGAUUUGUCUUAGCAAAACCUCAAUUAGACACGUUUGUUCACUUUGUUGUGUGCAAAACCAACUAAUAUCUUGGACAUA